rnacentral:rRNA from 1 species
GUAUUCCCGCAACAUGCUGAUCUCCGAUUACUAGCGAUUCCGACUUCAAAGAGGCGAGUUUCAGCCUCUUAUCCGAACUGGGACCGGCUUUGGUGCGGUUUGCUACACAUCACUGCUUCGCUUCGCAUUGUACCGGCCAUUGUAGCGCGAUUCUAGCCCAAGGCGUAAGGGAAAUACUGACCUGACAUCAUCCCCUCCUUCCUCCCCGUUACCGGGGCAGUCCUACCAGAAAAAUACAACUGGUUGCAAGGGUUGCGCUCGUUGAUGGACUUAACCAAACAUCUCACGACACGAGCUGACGACGGCCAUGCAUCACCUGUCUUCGGGUUCCCGAGGGCACAGAUUCCUUUCGGAAGCCUUCCCGAGAUGUCAAGCCUUGGUAAGGUUUAUCGUUUACCAUCGAAUUAAAGAUCACGCUCCACCGCUUGUGCGGGUCCCCGUCAAUUCCUUUAUGUUUUAAUCUUGCGAUCGUACUACACAGGUGGGAUACUUAACGCGUUAGCUUCGCAACUCCAGGGGUCGAUACCCGAAACUGCUAGUAUCCAUCGUUUACAGCGUGGACUACCGGGGUAUCUAAUCCCGUUUGCUCCCCACGCUUUCGUGCCUUAGUGUCAG